rnacentral:rRNA from 1 species
CGGGGAGGCGGCAAAUAUCCUUUGAUCCGGAGAUGUCUGAAUGGGGGAACCCACCUACUUUAAGGUAGGUAUUGCAACAUGAAUACAUAGUGUUGCAAGGCGAACGAGGGGAAGUGAAACAUCUCAGUACCCUUAGGAAAAGAAAUCAAUUGAGAUUCCCUCAGUAGCGGCGAGCGAACGGGGGUCAGCCCAUUAAGUUAUGUGUGUUUUAGUGGAACGCUCUGGGAAGUGCGAACGUAGA